rnacentral:lncRNA from 13 species
CUGGUUGUGAUGGGGUGGGACUGACAGGUUAAUGGUCCCCUGCUUGCUUGGGUAUUUUAAAAAAAGCCCAAAGAAAUAAAAAUCCUUUCAUGGGCAUUGUUUAAACCAAACACAAGAGUAUUUCCCUAGCAGCUUCUAUUUGGAAAUGCGAACUGGAAAGCAAAGUUCAGAUGCUCCUUACUUCUGCAAUCUGGACAGGAAGCAGAAUACCACAAGCUACAAAUUCAAGCAUGUGCUCAUCUGGGCUCUCUUACUUUUAUUCAUUCAUUACAUUUUUUUCCUGUGUGUUUCUAAGGAGAGUUAAAUGUUUAUAUGUGAUGCUGGCAGGGAGCUGAACCUUCCUCUGCAGCCAGUUCCAUGGCAAACCACUCACCUCCACCAGCAGAUUUAUUUAACCAGAAUGAUCUGAGCAGAGGGUAUUUUGCCUUUAAAUUGACACUGAGAUCCUUCCCCCUGCAGGCACUGGGUACAGGUCCAGCUGCUGGGCAAAGCGAAGGGAAAGGGAGGGAGCUCCUCUUCCAGCAUCCCCAAAGCCUGCCCUCCCCAUGGGUGCUGCCUUCAGACCUCCUUGGGGACCAAGGAAGGCAAAGCAUGGUGCUGUGGAGCAGAGGAUGGCCUGGUUUCUGUCCUUUCCUGCGCUCUACCUGCUCCUUGUAGAGACCUUUGGUCUCACGUGCCCAGCAGAGAUGGACACCCAGUGCAGAAGCCAAGCCUGCCCACUCCUCAGAGAGGUUUUCCCAGGUGCCUCCUGCAAGGCAUCCCUGGCCCAGGCCCAGGAAACAAACUGUGGAGCUGCACACACCUUCCUUGCUCUGUGCUUCAGACCUGAGCCAGGUGAGUACAUCCCCACACAGACCAGCUCUGCUGGCCCCCAAGCCAGGCACAUUUCCCUUCUGAGCCUGCAAAGCCUGCAGUUUGCAUGCCCAGUUGAGAGUGGAUAUGAGAACAGAUAAAACCAAUCUAUUUUUAAUCCAGUGUAAGAUCUCUUACUCUUGGCUAUUUUUUUCAUAAUUGGUUCUGUUUUCUGCUAAUGAUCUGAAAUUUAGCAUCUAUUUCUGCCUCGGAUAUUCUGAUAACUGGUGCUGAGGAAGAACAUAAAGACUGUUGUUAGCAGUGAAGGCUGCAGGACAUAUGGAUGCUGCAGACCUGUGAGUGAUAGACAGAAAGUUGUUUGGAGGCAACGGGACAGAUUGUCUGGGAUUCCUGGCUUAGUCCCAAUGAAAGGCUGAUGAGGUAAAUAGUGCUGGGAAAAUCCUGUUAGGGAGGGAAAAGAGCAGACUGGAGCUGAGAGAUCGCUGGGAACGCUGUAUUGAUUAUGCAGUUUCUCUGCAAAAUUGAAUUCACUUCUGGCACAAAAACAGGAUUCGCAUUUCUCUCUCUGGUGCACUUGCUUCACUAGCAGGCUCGUAAGGCACUCUGAACUUUCCAGCUUUUAGUAAUGGGUUAAGACCAAAAACUCAUUCUGAACCUUUGAGGCAGUUGGUUCGGGUUUGGAUCAGACAUUUCCGCCUCCAUCCCAUUCACAGAUGCCCUAGUGUGGGAUGAAGGAUCCAGAACAAUAUCCCAGAUCUGGUGCCUGUUGAUAUGAUGGAGGUCAGAAGCUCCAGUGUAGAAACGUUCCUUGCUGAGCUGGAGGGGAGCUGUUUCCAAAUUCAGGCAGGGCAUUUUGGGCAGUGGGAAUGUGUACAGGCACAUUCACCAACACCACCCCUCCAAGCCUGGGAGCUGCCCUGUAGCUGCAGUCUGUGUUUCCAUGUUGGACAUGUUUUCCACUUCCCUGGCUCCCUUUGGUCAGCGGAUGAUUUGUGCCCAUUCCUCUACAAUAAGUAGAUUAGCUGUGAUUUAUUUGGGACAGGGUUGGGACUGGUGAUUUGUGGGCUGCUGUGGGUGUGGGAGCUGUGUGAUCUCAUGCGAAGGGUGAUUGCUGUCAAGUGCAAAGGGACAGAUUAGGAUAUAUGACACUCUGCAUCCAAGAGCUGAAUGGGUAUGUGGAUGGGAUAUCCAAAAUCCUUCAAGUGCAUUCUUAAAUACAUCCUCUUCCACUCCCUGCACCCUUCUGAUUUGGGACAACAAAGUGGCAGGUUUGUCUCCUUUUAUUCUCUGCUUUUUCAGGAGGAGGUGAGAGGAGAAGCAAAGGAACAAAUCCUUCUGCAGAAAAGGGGUCUGCAAGCAGAGACAAUGCUU